rnacentral:tRNA from 1 species
CGCGGAGUGGAGCAGCCCGGUAGCUCGCAGGGCUCAUAACCCUGAGGUCGUAGGUUCAAAUCCUGCCUCCGCAACCA